CGCGUAGGCGGAUUUGUAAGUCAGUGGUGAAAUCUCGGGACUUAACUCCGAGACUGCCUCUGAGACUGCUUUUCUUGAGUGUGGAAGAGGAAAUCGGAAUUCCCGGUGUAGCGGUGAAAUGCGUAGAUAUCGGGAAGAACACCAGUGGCGAAGGCGGAUUUCUGGUCCACAACUGACGCUGAGGCGCGAAAGCGUGGGUAGCAAACA
rnacentral:rRNA from 1 species